AUGGUGGACUGGAGGAGGCAGGGGACUUGGCCAAGCAGCAGUCACACACCCACUCACACACGCACACAUAUACUCUCUCACACAUAUACAUACACCCACUCACACAUACACUCACACAUAUACAUACACCCACUCACAAAUGCACACUCACACAUAUUUAUACACCUACUCACAUAUGCACACACAUACUCACACCCACAGCCACAUACACUCACACACACUCACACACACCCACUCACACCCACACCAAUAUACUCUCACACAUAUACAUACACCCAAUCACACAUAUACAUAUACCCACUCACACAUACACACACUUACACAUAUACAUACACCCACUCACACACAUACAUACACCCACUCACACAUACACACACUUACACAUAUACAUACACCCACUCACACAUAUACAUACACCCACUCACACAUACACACACUUACACAUAUACAUACACCCACUCACACAUAUACAUAUACCCACUCACAUAUGCACACACGUACACACAUACUCACUCCCACACACAGUCACACACACACACUUAUAUUCUCUCACACAUAUACAUACACCCACUCAUACACACACUCACACUCACACAUAUACAUACACCCAGUCACACACACACACUCUCACAUACACACACCCACAUACUCACUCACUCACACAUGCACACACACACACACAUACACCAGAGGCCUCUUACCCUUAACCAAGGCAGGAAUAGCACCGAAGAAGAGAGCGCAGAAAGGUGGGCAGAAAGCGAGGGGCGGAGGGUUUCUCCUGUUGAAGUAUGGAGGGGUUUGAUGGUGGAUCAAACUUUGCUGCAGACUUUGCUGGAGGAUUUUGUGGAAAAUACAGUACAAGCCCAGAUUCGUCUUUCAAGAAUCAUUCUUGAGGUUGGCACUGUGGCACAGUGGGUUAGGCCACCACUUGGGACAUACCGUAUCAGAGUGCCUUGUUCGAGGCCCAGCUACUCCAUACUUCCUGCAAAUACACCUGGGAGGCAGUGGAUCAUGGCCCAAGUCUUUGGGGCCCUGCCACCCAAGUGGGAAACCUCGAUGGAAUUCCUGGCUAUUGGUUUGGCCUGGCCCAGCCCUGGCUGUUGCAAGCAUUUGAGGAGCAUGGAGGAAGAGUUCUCUCUCUCUGCCUUUCAGAUAAAUAAAUAA
rnacentral:lncRNA from 1 species